GCUGACGUAGCUCAACCCGGCAGAGCACCUGUUUUGUAAACAGGCGGUUAGGGGUUCAACUCCCCUCGUCAGCU
rnacentral:tRNA from 1 species